rfam:Ixodes scapularis strain Wikel colony gcontig_1107728865430, whole genome shotgun sequence.
GGAAGUAGGCCUUCCGAAGCCGUUUUACAGGAAAAGGCUUCAAACCACUCUAAGCUGCGUUGGUAAAGAGCCAAGGUGGUGAGCGUUAGAGAAAAGGUAUCUUGCAAGGUAUCAGGU